CGCGGCGCCCGACUUGGGGGAGCGGAGCAGAACCACCUGCCGGCGCGGGGGAGCUACGGGGGCCGGGCAGGGUCCAAACGGCUCACGGCGGCGGCCGCGGUCCUCGGGGUCACGGGGAGGAGAAGCCUCAGCCCGGGCGGGCGGGAGCAGGGGUCACCUGCGCCGCCCAGGGCAGUGCGGGCGGCCUGGAGCGGGAAGGGACGCCGGGACCUGGUGGCCGCGCUCCCACGCCCCGGGGCUCCUGCGUGGACAGGGCAGAGGCCGACCCGGCUCCACCGGCCCCAGGGUCUGUGUCUUGCCGCCCCGCACAGCAUCUUCCUGAGCACUUGGUUCAACUAACAGCAGACACCGCCGUCCCCUCUCCGCCCGCACAGGGAGGACCCGCAGUUGAAGGGACAUGUCAUCGUUGCCCUCAAAGACGGGGAACAAGGCAAAGGUAACGCAGUUCUAAUAAAAGACACAGCAUGAAAGGGCCACGUGGAAAGUGCAAAGUACCGCGGACGGUCAAAGAGCACGGCGGCAACAAGGAGGCGGCACGUGGGACCGACUGAAGGAGACGCGCGGAGUCUCACGGCACCAAGGCACAGGCUGGACCCUGGACGUGACGGCUUUGCACUGAUUAUGCAGAUGACUACAAGCCCCUGGGCUUGGUAAAGCCAUAAGAAGGUGCCUGGAUAAAGGCGAGCUGCCGUCAGACCUGGAAUACCCAAUUAUGGGAGCAAGGCAUCUUGCAUGUGAUGUGAAUAACUCAAAACUGUAAUUCAUGGAACAAAGUUGAGAAAUGGUCUUCUAGGAAUUUUGGUUCUCCCUGGAAACACAGGAGUACUUUGGGCCUUUCUGGUGCCUUUCCACACCUGCCCUCUGCUGGAGUUGUUGCUGGUGAAUUCCAAAUCCUGGCCAAGCGAAGCCAGCACUGGAGAAUUCUGGCUCUGCCUCAUGUCUCCAAGGAAACUUCUGGGACUUGACAUUCUGUGUGUGAAAAUCUGGUCUUGGUUGGCACUCCCAGCACGACAGCAGAGUUCUGCAGUCUGCAUGUACUCUGGGGUGUGUGCCACAACUUCCACCAUCAAAAUGGAGAACAUGGUCUCAACAGAGUGAGUGAUUAGAGAUCAAAGCCUGAGGUCCUCGAAUCAUAGAAUAUCUAAUAUCAAAUAUAAAAACAUGCUCAUGGGAUAUCCAUAUGGUCCUAGACCUAAUAUGAUGAAAAAUGCCAACUUUAAAAUAUGUUGACACAUGCUUAGUACACUUUAAGUCCUGUGAAGACAAAAAGUCUGAAAACAGGUUGCACAAUGGCAGCCCUGGAGCAAAUGUGGCCCAUACAUGUUUUACUUGACCUAUAAUGUUAAUAAUACUUGACCCAAAAUUUAAAAAUUGAAAAGUUUCUUACAAAAAUAUGUAUUUCUAGUUUCACUAAAAAAAUCAGAAGAGCUACCAUUUUUUGAAUAGCAACAGUAGCUGGAGCAGAAUGACAACUGCCCAUUUAGACAACUGCUGCAGUUGCCACACUCACUGUGGUUUCCCUGGCUCCUAAAGUCACUCUAGCUUGUAACCGUUGGUUUAAAACAUAACUGAUUCUCUAGUUUUUGAAAUUCUCUCAAAACAAACAAAAAAACUUGAACUAGCAAAUGGCACAGAUCCUCACAUGGAACUAGAGCAGAUACAAAGUUGACCAUAGACAGCAGUUCCCAAACUUUGCUAUACAUUAGAUUUUAAAAAUCCUCCUGCCCAGGGCACAGUGGCGGAGGCAGCCAGGCAUCUUUUUUUAAAAGAUCAUUAUGUGAAAGAGCAUAGAUGGGCUCACUGCCAAGUCUCACUCCCAAGUCCAUUUGGAUUCUUCGCAACUGAAUAUUUCCCUCUUCCAGAAUUUUACAAUUGAGGGAACAAACUAGGGAAAGAUUAAUUAGUGCAAGGUCACACUGCUAGUAACAGAAGUUAGGAUUCCAACCAAGAUCUUCUGACUCUAGUAUCCUUUCAUACAGUUUUAUAGCGAUUUAAGUUGAUACAAGGAUAAUUUUAAAUACUUAACAAGUAGAGAAACUGAAUGUCCACAUAAACUGAUUUUAUCCUCACAAAAUAUGUCAGAAAACAGACACACUAAAAACAGAGGCAUGACUAUCAAGUGACCAAGUUAGUUUAGUCAAAAGAUUAAUUUUUCUGCUAUUUGAAAAUGCAAAAAAUAUUCAAAGAAGAUAAAUAUAAGUCUGGGAGGCAGACAAUAAAAAGGGUACUAUCAAAACCCAAUAAACUGAAAGAAAGAAAAAGAAAGACCACAAUAAUAUGCUGAACUUUCAAAAGGAGAGAACAAAUCUAUGGUUACUCGAGGUGGGAGGGAGGUAGGAGGAGGAGGUUGGGGAGAGAUUGGGUAAGGGGCAUAAAGAAUAAUUACGAUUUGUAAUAAUGAAUAUGCUGAUAAUAUUGAUUUGAUCACCACAUGUGGUACACAGGUGAUGGUAGUCAACGCUGUACCCCCAAAAUAUGUAUAAUCAAUUAUGCUUCAAUAAAAAAAAAUUUUUUUUAAACCAAACU